rnacentral:tRNA from 1 species
GCGAUUAGCUCAGUUGGGAGAGCACCUGCCUUACAAGCAGGGGGUCACUGGUUCGAGCCCGGUAUCGCCCACCA